rfam:Daphnia pulex DAPPTscaffold_3_Cont190, whole genome shotgun sequence.
AGCUUGUUGGCUGUAAGAUAUGUUUGAUAUUCUUGGUUGUUCUAUGGUCAGACCACAACCAGAUAUCAGACAUAUUAUUACAGCUGUGAGCC